rnacentral:rRNA from 1 species
AUUACCGCGGCUGCUGGCACAGAGUUAGCCGGUGCUUAUUCUGCAGCUAAUGUCAUCGUCCCCGGGUAUUAACCGAAGAGUCUUCUUCACUGCUUAAAGUGCUUUACAACCAAAAGGCCUUCUUCACACACGCGGCAUGGCUGGAUCAGGGUUCCCCCCAUUGUCCAAUAUUCCCCACUGCUGCCUCCCGUAG